rnacentral:lncRNA from 1 species
AAGUACACAUGUUUAUUUACAUUUUAAUGUUUCAUUUUAAACUGGAGAAUAUGUAGUGAUUAAAGACUAACAUGCUUCAAACCUCAGGGGGAAUGUUGCCUGUAGAGUCCCGAAUUUCUUGCCUAAUGAAAUGAACCUGACAGCCCCUCUCCUUUUCAUGACAUAUUUUUGAUUCGAAUACAGUGGAAGUAUUUGUAAAAAAGCUCAAAUAACAGGAUUCAAAGCACAAUCCUCACACAGAGACUUAAAAGACCCUUCCUCAGAAAUCCAGAAACCAGAUUUGGGGUUAGAAAAAUUGUUUCCAUCCUUCAUAUGCUUUAUAUAGUAAGCCUGGACUUUCAUCCUGCUGUACAAGCCGUGUCUUGAAUCUCACCCUGAGUUACGUAUUCUGUGUUUCAAUCCUUCUUCACAGAACUUCAAAUUCCCUCUCAAAUGCAGUGUCCAGGGCUGCAGAACAUGUCUAUUUACAUCCUUAAGCAGCUUUCUGCAGACUAGCUGGCUCUCCCCAGGACUGUACACAAUCAUUAAGCUCAUCUGAGCUUGCUCCUAGCCACUGACACCCUAGAAGUACUACCUGAAUGAGAAUUUAAAGCUUGAGUAGGUUUUAGAUAAUACUAAAGCUACGUGGUGCAAAAAAUCAUACGUGCAAAGACAAAUGUAGCCCCAGUCUGUAAUGGUUCAGCAAUUCAACUGCUUGUCAUGUGCUGCAACUGGCAAAACAAAAGAGGGAGAAUUGUACUUGAAUAUAAGACAACAUGGCACAUUUAGGAAUUACACCAAACACCAGUGUUUAUUCUACUUCCAUUUGUAAAGCAGGAUCCAUCAUUUACUCACUUCUGAGACUACGAAAAGACACUUUUCUUUUCCUCAGAAGCUUGCAAUGUAAGUGCCCAAUCCUAAACAUCAUCAGUGUCACUCAUCCUUGUGCAGGAAGCAGUGCACUGACAGCACAGCAUGAGCAGUGUUUCAGUCUAGACCUGCACAUGAGUGAAUUUGGAGCAGGGGCUAACUGUGGUGAUCAGACCUGUUCCUGACCAAGGUUCCUCUCUGCCCCACGCCUGCAUGGCCCUGUCCCACCAGGCUGUGCUGCUCUGCCAUUGGCACAAACGUUUGCAUGACAUGGAAAUCUCCUGCAUGGGGCAACAAUGUGUGGUACAGUAACUUCUUAAGCUGUUCCAGCUGUUUGCAAAUAAAAUAUGCGUCUAAGCCCCCAGUCUAUACAAACUGAUUUCUGAGAGGAGCUGUAUUUGUGUGACUGUGCCAGAUCAGGGCCAUUACUAACUGCAGAGGAGCAUAAACAACUCUAGAGAGAGAAAAGAUUUUGAGAAGGCACCAGUGACAAGGAUAGCAUGUAAAUCCCAUACCUCUUGGUGAGAACUCUCUUGUUAACAUAUUUAGUUGACAGUCACACACUUUUGCACUCCCAUAUAUUUUAAGGUUUGAAGUCACUUGUUCUGUCUCUCAAGUUUGCUCAGCCUAGCUUCUUGUGCAGUUGAAGCAGCUUCCAUUUUCACGCUGCACAAAAACACAAGCAAUACCAUAACACAUAAGAAUAACAGUUUAAUGGAAACAUAGAGCCAAAUGCUAAAUGUACUGAAUUAAGUGGAAUUAAAGAAAGAAUAAAUAUGGUCCAUUCCCUCCUCCAACUUCAGUACUGUCCUCUCCAACACUGUACAUAUAAUCUCACAACACAAUAACAUUGCUGUACUCACUCUGUGCAAGCAGGAUCAUUCACUUACUCUUUGUUUCACUCCUACAAUUUUCAAAUAGCAAAAUUCAGUUUCAGGCAGUGCUGUUCUCAAAGGGCUGCCAGACCUGCUACUCCUCUGCCUCACUGCUGCCAGAUUGCUCUACAGUGGGACAAGACCUGCCCAUGUCCAGUGAUGCUCAUACUGAGCAGAAGCAAUAAUUAAACCCUUUAACCUUAGUGAAGGUAAAAAGCAAGAUGGAUGUGUGCCUAAUGGGGGAGAAACAGGUACAUCUGCAUCCUGGGCCAGCACUGCCUCCUCCAGCCCCCGAGCAGCAGCUGCCCAGGGCUGCAGAAUGUUCAGUAACACUUUCUUGUGCUAGAGACUGUGCCUUGUGAGGGGCCUACCUUUAAUGUUUUGCCUAGAGCAACAAAAUCCUUAACGGGUGCUGGUUGCCACAUUCAGGGGAGCCUGCAGGAGCUGCUUGCUGCUGACUGGGAAAGCACUCACUGCUUCUCAAAGCAAAACUACUGUGACACUUUAGGAGUACAGCCCUUUAAACCACCUGUUCAAAUCUGCUAAUCACAGGUAAUCUUGGCUCUUCAAGGGGAUUACUCAAAGACAAUCAAAACACUAAAAAAACAAAGACAAAAACUGUUACUGGUAAUUUGCAUCAAUUUCUUGUGAUGUUAUGCUAUAAUUUUUGCAAUAAUUGUAACCAAUAACAUACUAUGUAAAGUUCUCAAGGGAUUGACUCUCUGUUCAGAAAUUAACUGUAGAAUAUGUUUUUUAUUUCUUAUUAUUCUGCUUUCUUAUUGUCAUUCUCAUAAAAUCAAGCAAAGUGAUAAGUGGAAUGUCUAGAAACAGCCAGAAUUUAAUCUGGAUGAAUUACACAAAAUAUAUCUGUCCUGGAAGCAUAUCUGCUUUUACGGAGUUAUAUACCACCCUGUGGUAUAUACAACAGAAUACAACAUUCUGCACCUGAAGCAUUGGCACAUAUCGACAAGAUUAUAUUAAUUCCAGUGUAGAAAGCUGACAUUGUUGGAUACUGCUUGGAAAUGUGCAUGUUGUAAAACUGGAAAAAAAAAAAGCUACAAAAUUUGAACUUAAUUGAAAAUACUUUCAUUUUAUAGCAAACCGUAUUGUAGAUGUUUACAUAGUAUUCAAUAAAUAUUAGCCAUAAACCCUAAUUUAACCCCAGAUUUUGUUAGGUUCAAGAUUUUUGGAAAAUCCAGGUGUCAUCUCAAAUUUUGUACGCUUUUAACUGCCAGUCCCAGCCCCCAUUUAGGUAGGCAAGUCCUCCCUGGUGUGGCCACACAGUCAAGGGGCAAAACUGCCUUGGAGGCACUCGGCCUCAGUGUGCCCCUGCUCUGUUUUGCCUCUGGAUCCCAUGGUUUCAGGAUCAGGAGGUUUAUGUGUAAAGCUUGUAAAAUCUUAGAGGAAUACAAAGGAUAUUUUGUAAAGUUUCCCUAGAAACAUCUUUUUCAAGCCAUGUGGUGUUGCUGGAUAGGGAUUUAGUCUAUCCAAAUAAAACCAGUAGCACUUUUCAAUGCAUAGAGCACAAAUUCAUCAAGUGGCUCAGUUGCAAUGUGUUCUAGGUUCCUGGAAAAUGAAAGGUUGGAUCAGAUGUUCUUUUGAGGUCUCUCCCAGUCAUUCUAUGAUUCCAUUACAGGGCAACAUGAUUUUACAUGGAACUAUAUUAUUCACAUGCUUGAUGCUUUAUUAUACCUUUCAAAAUCAAAUAAUCAAUAUAAUUUGGGCUUUAUUGCUGAAAGAAUGAAAUUGCUUGACUGACACAUGAUAGUGAACUAAUGACAUUAGAAGCUCUGGCUCUUUUAUUUCUCUUUCGCUCAGAAAAGAGCAAAACAAUCUGGAUUUGUUCUGAAUAAAAUUGCAAUACUGCAGGCUAAAACUUUACUUCUCAAUCUAAAAACUUUCCUUCUCAAUUUAAAUUCAUUUUAAAUUGUUAUGCUUUACAAACUUCCAAAUGGGAUUCUAAUUGUUGACAGACAUUUUACAUUACAUGUGUCUAUCACUUUGAUUUAAUAUGCAUUUUCAAUGAAAUUUAAAAAAGGCCUCUAAGGUGGCAAUUUAACAGCAAGACAUGCUGUGAAUUUUAGAUAUAAAAAAUAUCUAGUUUUCAAGGGUUUUUUGUACAUGUGAAAAUGGCCCUCCAGAAAAAAAUAAAAAAAAUCAGAGAACGUCUGUAUGGCUGAGUUAUCAGAAGCUAAAUAUCUCCAAGAACAUUACCUACUGUUUUAAUCAAUCACAGUCAUCAGAGGCAAACCAGGUUUUACAUUUAUGCAGCUUUUCAGUAGUACACUUCAAAAAGUAUUAACCAUAAAAGAAAUAAAAUGUAUUUGGAAAUCCUAUGUCUGGUUUAUUACAUCUCAUGACCUGAUUUAAUUUUCUUCUACAGAAAACCCACAUUGAAAUGUCUGUAAGUAAUAGGUACUUGUUGUCAACUUUGAUAAGAGACAUUUGAAAGGAAUGCCAAAUGUAUUGUGAAAGAUAAGAGAACAGCAGCUUUUCUGUGUCCCUAAAAGAGUGGAAACCAGACUUAGGAGAGCACACAACUACAGAACAGACCUGUUCUAUAUCAUGCCUACUUUUGAAAUAAUCGGAAUUGUAGUUAAUGUUUAAACCCUAAGCUAUAGACAUUGACAGCACAGUGGGAACAAUUCUCUAUCUUUAACUUAAAAUUUUUAAACCAAAAUAUUCACUACCUUUAAAUUCUUGCAUUUUCUCCAUAACAUUAAUGAAAACAUCUUAAGUUGGCUUAUUUUAUAUAAAUAGCUUUAAAUAUCUUAUUUAAGAGGUCCUGCAGGGUAUCCCUAAACCUACACUUGAUGGCAAGAAUAAACAUUCAUUAAACUUCAAAGGCUGCCAAAAAGUCUAGUUAUUUUGAUUUAGGGGAAUCAUUUAAAUUAAUCCCUCAGCCUGUGUAGAAAAUAUAUAAUGUAAUCCAUUUCUCUGUCUCUAGCUUCAAGUAACACUGGAAACAGAAAUACUGCUUUACUAAUAUUUUCUGUUUUGAAAAAACUGAGGAAAAAGAAAGACUUCAUGUAGUUUUGAAGAAUUCUGGCUUAGUGUCAUUAAGAAACAAAUAUUAUAAUACACAACUGUGUACUUACAUUUCUGUGUAACUGCUGUUAAACCUACACGCACAAUGGAGUUCUUCAGUGGGAGCAGUAAAACCAGAUUUUAUGUUUGUGUGUGAGUUUAUAUAUGUAUCUGUAAUUUUUUUUAACAAAAGAAUCAAUUUUUUGGAGUGGCUUUCUGCCUUACCACCUCAACUCAACUGCGUGCUGCUGUGCUACACAUCUGUUUCUUUAACACAUCUUUUUUUGCUGAGGCCCCCUUAAAAUUUGGGAGAAACCUUAGUAUGAUGAAGAGCUUGGUUUAAAAUGAUUUUUUAUUUUAAAAUGAAUGCACUCUUCAUCUGAAAGAAGCAUGUAGGGCAUACGGUGUCAGACGCACCAAGGAAAAAAAUAAAAGGAAGGAGAAGCUCAGCUAUUGUAAAUCACUGUAAUGCCACUGAGGCCAAUUCAGACAAGCUGAGGUUGUGGCCUAAUAUUUGUGCUGAAAUGUUGCAGCCAUAGCUGUAUCCCUGAGCUGUAUAAAUAUUUGUAGAAAGCUGGCUGUUAGGGUGCAAGGGGUGGAUUGCUCAUCAGCAAAUAGUGAGGGCCCUUGUCUUUUCACCUUUCUUAAGGAAACCUUCCCUUUUUGAGGGCUGGGAAUUUUGACUGAGUACAUGUAUGAUCUUUUUUACUUUGUGCAUGGAUCGUUCCACGCGUGUGCAGUGGGACAGGAAUUUCCAUCUGGACUUUUGAACUUGCACCCGCCUGAGUGUCCGGCCCUGAUUCAUGCCAUGCACUGUACAUGAAUGACCAGCAAUGUUUACAAAAUGAAUUAGCUUGACUCCAACUCUCCAGCCAGAAAGUAAUCAAAAUGAAGAGCCAAGCUAUUUCUGAAAUUCCAGCUUCCCUAGCUAGAAACUGCAUGCUCUGUCUCGCUAGUCAGGGUAUUAAUGCAAAAUGUACAUGUUCUAUACUGGAGGACAAUUAAUAACAGCAGUGAUUCUGAGCAGUCGACAGACAUUAACUAUUCCACCCCCAAACUGCUCUUGUGUGGUGGGCAAGUCUGACUGCAGCACAUGGUACAGAGGAAAAAAAAAUGAGUGAAAAUAUCUAUAUCCAUAAGUGAUUAUUCUAUGAGAUGUAGUAUGUCCUUUUUUGUUCUUUCUUCUCCCAAAUUAAAUUCCAGUUAACAUUUUAUUUCACUUUUGUAUGAAUACAUGUAUUCAUGGACAUAUUCAGGAAUCUUAUUACGCAAAUAUUUUCAGUAGGGCUACUCAUAAGUGGUAUCCCUAAAAUAUUGGAAAUUUGAUUUAUUUUCCCAUCAACCAUCCUAAUUUUAGCAUUUAGGAACAACAGAACUAUCUUCAGAAUAAUCUCAUCCUAUAAAAUACAUUAGCCUUUUCUAAAUUUAAUAUAAAACAUUGUUAUGAAAGAAGACAAUGUUACAUGAUACAUUCUGUUUAAGAUGGUCUGAAACUCAAAAUGUAUCACUGAAUUUUCCCUCUGAAAACAAACCUCCUGAUCUGAAAAGCCCACACCAUAUAAAGCUGGAGAUGUCUCAGAGCCAAAUUGUUUGCUCCUGUAAAUGGUUAGAGCUCCACAGAGGGGGGAUAUGAAAUAAGGCUUUGUUGAUUUUACAGCAGAGCAUCUGAACCACUUCCCCCGCCCUAGUCCAUUUAAAGCAAAAUUAAAAGUAAAAUAAACCCCAAAUUAGCAUGUGAGCUCUUCAUUGGCAAAUUGGCAUAACUCCACUGGAUAUCUGACUUAGGCAGGGUUUUCAGGACUUACCACCAAGAAGAUCUCAGCCAUGGUAUUUUAAUGGUGAUUUCAUGUGAACCUGAUUCUUCAUCCUUAUUCAGGCUGAAAACCAGGAAUGCACUACAGAGAUAUAGAUCAGUUGAGAAAUUGAUUGUUUUCAGGGAGGGAGGGUAAGUGGUUCAGUUAUUCCAAAAUUAGCAACUGCUUGUGUGGUGUAUAGCUCAGGCCAAAUGACCAGUGAAUGAUGCUGCCCAAAACCUCCCCAUCUAUAUCAUACCUGCAUCCAGCCCCUGGUGACUUUUAUUUCCAGAAUGGACUAGCAAAUCCAGGACUGAUAAAUUAAAAAUAUCUGAAUGAAAUAGCCUGGCAGGAUAUCUUUAACAUUACCUAAAAAUCAGAGGUUAAUAAAUAGUUAAAUUUAGCUGUAGCUUCUCUUAAGUAGUUUGAACAUAAGUCAAUAUUUUCGUCUUUUGUUGUCUCAGGGUUUCUACAGGAGCAGAGAGAAUUUCAUCAAUGAUUUUUCUACACUUUAUAGCAUUAUGCCUUUGCGCUAUUAUCCUUCUGUAUCCUUAUCUAACAUGUUAUCAACUGUAUGAAAAUAAGUAGCAGUCCCUUCAGCCCACUGCAAGUAUCAAUAGGAAGAAUGACAGUGGCUAGUUUGCACACUUGAAAUGGUUUAUUUGUUGCAAUCCUGUGCACAAGAUGUUUAUCAGUAAGCACCAGACAGCCAUGCAGAAGAAGGAGCCUUAAUUCUGUCUGAGACAGCCUCUUAUUGCUAUUGAUAGUUAGCAUCAGUGUCCAGUCUGAGAAAUGGAAGUGCUGCAGGCAACUUCAGUCAAGACACCCUAUUGAUCUACUGCUUCCUCUGCGUCCCUGAAGCUAGAGAAGAAAAAUAAAAAGGGGAGGAAAAGCCUGCUGUAAAAGGGGCAAUGCAGCAGUCUGUGUCUUGCCAUCAUUCAAAGGGGUGUGUAUGUGCAUGGAUAUUCCUGAUAUUCAGUACCUUAGACAACUGUAAAUCACAUGCAUAGCUAUGAUAAAUAUAAAUGUCAAUGUGUUGGAAAUGUCCUUUAUAUAAGAGGUGUCACUAGAACUACAUUUUUAGCAUGAAACAUUUUUUCUGCUUUUUAUUUUUCAUUGACUUAUUGUGCUUCUGUUAUAUCCUGUCUAACACAAUCAAUCUAAAGCAUAAUAUCUGAGAGUCCUAUUCAUAAAUAAUACAUAUUUGGGUCAUUUUCAUUUGUAUCCUACAAUGAAGAUUUACAAGCCAGAAACAAAACAAGAAACAAUGUGUGGAAUGCUCUUAUUCAGUGGAUAAGAAUAUAUUACUGUGAUCAAUUAAUCUGCUUUUCUCUGCAUUAGGUGGACAUGUUUAUGGUGCAUCCAUAAGGGUUUAUAACUUGGGAGAGACAGAAUCAGCUCUAAGGCUCUAACAUAAAAUGCCUGUACUCAGAAAAGAGAAACUUUUCCAAAGUUUUUUUGCUUGGUUGAGCCUUUUUUUUCCCCAUUGUUGUUGUUUUCCAAUAAUAAAUGUGUUAAUUUUGGCAAACUCAACUACAGCAAUAACUUAUCCAUCAACGUAGUAUGAUACUCUGCCCUAUAGUCUACCUCUCAUGUUAAAUGAAAUGACAAAUUGACUACAGUAAAUCUGGGGAUUUACAUAGUGUUAUUCAUUCAAAGAUACUCCCAUUUUACUACAAACCACACGAUUCAUUCUACAGGAGGGAAGACUGACACACAGAAAGGUCCCAGCUCUGUUUUUAGGGCCAAGAAUUACUAGGCACAAUUAAGUGAAAAAGAGACAAAAAUCUGUGCAUAGAAAUUGCAUGGGAACA